rnacentral:RNase_P_RNA from 1 species
GGAGCGGAUCGGAGGAUCGCCGCGCCGCAAGGCGUGGAGGAAAGUCCGAACUCCAACGGGCAGCAGGCUGGAUAACGUCCAGGCGCGGAAACGCGACGGAAAGUGCAACAGAGAAUAGACCGCCGAACUAUUGCCGCAAGGCGAUGGAGGCAAGGGUGAAACGGUGCGGUAAGAGCGCACCGCGUCCCGCGAGAGCGGCGACGGCAAGGCAAACCCCCUGCGGAGCAAGACCAAAUAGGGAAGCGAUGGAACCGCCCGUUUCCGCUACAAGCUUCCGGGUAGGUUGCUCGAUCACCGCGGCAACGCGAGUGACAGAUGAAUGAUCCUCGCCCGCGAGGGAAACAAAAUUCGGCUUACAGAUCCGCUCCACAC